rnacentral:rRNA from 1 species
CAGCGCCUCAAGUGGGAAUCGUAUUUAUUGGGCCUAAAGCAUCCGUAGCCGGCGCUGUAAGUUUUCGGUUAAAUCUGUACGCUCAACGUACAGGCUGCCGGGAAUACUGCAGCGCUAGGGAGUGGGAGAGGUAGACGGUACUCGGUAGGAAGGGGUAAAAUCCUUUGAUCUAUUGAUGACCACCUGUGGCGAAGGCGGUCUACCAGAACACGUCCGACGGUGAGGGAUGAAAGCUGGGGGAGCAAACCGGAUUAGAUACCCGAGUAGUCC